rnacentral:piRNA from 1 species
AUCUGCCUAAGCUUGCAUGAGUCACUGC